rnacentral:rRNA from 1 species
CCUACGGGUGGCAGCAGUGGGGAAUAUUGGACAAUGGGGGCAACCCUGAUCCAGCCAUGCCGCGUGUGUGAAGAAGGCCCUCGGGUUGUAAAGCACUUUCAGUGAGGAAGAACGCCUGGUGGUUAAUACCCAUCAGGAAAGACAUCACUCACAGAAGAAGCACCGGCUAACUCCGUGCCAGCAGCCACGGUAAUACGGAGGGUGCGAGCGUUAAUCGGAAUUACUGGGCGUAAAGCGCGCGUAGGUGGCUUGAUAAGCCGGUUGUGAAAGCCCCGGGCUCAACCUGGGAACGGCAUCCGGAACUGUCAAGCUAGAGUGCAGGAGAGGAAGGUAGAAUUCCCGGUGUAGCGGUGAAAUGCGUAGAGAUCGGGAGGAAUACCAGUGGCGAAGGCGGCCUUCUGGACUGACACUGACACUGAGGUGCGAAAGCGUGGGUAGCAAACAGGAUUAGAUACCCGAGUAGUC